rnacentral:rRNA from 1 species
AGAUUGAACGCUGGCGGCAGGCCUAACACAUGCAAGUCGAGCGGUAGAGAGGUGCUUGCACCUCUUGAGAGCGGCGGACGGGUGAGUAAUGCCUAGGAAUCUGCCUAGUGGUGGGGGAUAACGUUCGGAAACGGACGCUAAUACCGCAUACGUCCUACGGGAGAAAGCGGGGGACCUUCGGGCCUCGCGCCAUUAGAUGAGCCUAGGUCGGAUUAGCUAGUUGGUGAGGUAAUGGCUCACCAAGGCGACGAUCCGUAACUGGUCUGAGAGGAUGAUCAGUCACACUGGAACUGAGACACGGUCCAGACUCCUACGGGAGCAGCAGUGGGGAAUAGUUGGACAAGU